AUGAACAAUUACUCUGAUCUAUGGAUAACUGUAGGAACAUCCACAGCGACCCAAUUAUGGCAGACACCACCAGGAAUAACAAAAUUGUUCAGAUCUUCUGCAUCUUCUUCUUCAAUGAUAGCAGCAGCUUCCUCUUCUGCAGGUUGAUCAGCAUGGAUGAAUCCUCCACUGGUGAACAAACCUUGCUCGUUGCAUGCCCC
rnacentral:lncRNA from 1 species